rnacentral:piRNA from 1 species
UAACAGAGUGUGGUUGCCAUCUACCCCGAA